UACCCUUUUCUUUAGCUACCAUCGUCUUUUAAUCAUUUAUCUUCUUGUAUUCAUUAUAAUGCUGUGCUUGAAUGGUUUCUCAUCAGUCUCUGAUAGCAAGCAGGAAGUUAUCUCUUCAAGUCAAAUCACACGGGAAAGAAUACAAAGCAAUACGUGCUUUAAGAAGUGCUUUCGAGACAACAUCAACAACCUGCUAGGACCAUGUGGAACCCCUGCAGUCGCCGAUAGUACGUACUUCCUGAUUGGUGCAUUUCUGCCUAACUUGAGCACACUUAACAGGCAAAUUCUCGCUCUGCGGACGAGGUGUACAUUGAAGUAGCGUAUACCACCAGCCCGAUCCCGAUUUGAGAACCGAAAGGGUGCAUUCAUACACCCCCUCCACCAUUUCUGCACCCCUAUCCGCCAAGUGGAAAGGUUUAUUCUGUUUAACGGCCUACUUUGGAAAGAAACCCUGAAAACAGAGGGAAAAUAAGAAUCCUUUCCCCCAAUCGACAUCUUUAAUUAACAGGUAAGAAACUAUCAGUAGAUGUUAUACUGACAUAAAUUACUGGAAUUAUCGUCCAGAAUUUCUAGUCAUUAUGCAUACAUGUGAUUUGAUAUGAAGGGAAUAGAUUCUUGAAUGGAUAUCUAAAUUGCAUUUGAAUUUUAAAAAAAUGACACGUAAAAUAUGCUGAAUCUAUUCAUUUUUUUCUCAGUAAUGUCAACUUUGUUAAAAGAAUCAUCAAUGUAUGAGUGUUUAAUUAAACUUUAGAAAUGCAUAAGUGAUUUAAAAAAUACUCUAUUUAUAUAAUUUCAACAUGAACCAGCCUAUAUACUUGAUAGUUUUUGAAUGAUUGUUUGAAUUAGUGUGUUAAGUGUAUAUGCUACAAGUUUGUACCCAAUAUAGUGUGAGUGUGUGGGUUAAAAAAAAAGACACGUAAAAUAUGCAGAAUCUAUCCAUUUUUUCUCAGUAAUGUCAACUUUGUGAAAAGAAUCAUCAAUGUAUGAAUGUUUAAUUAAACUUUAGAAAUGCAUAAAUGAUAAAAAAAAUACUCUAUUUAUAUAAUUUCAACAUGAACCAGCCUAUAUACUUUUCGUUAUAGUUUUUGAAUGAUUGUUUGAAUUAGUGUGUUAAGUGUAUAUGCUACAAGUUUGUACCCACAAAAUAGUGUGAGUGUGUGGGUUAAAAUGUGCGUGUGUAUUAUUUUUGUAUAUGGUGGAGUUUUCAAAACCUACAAUGGCACUACAAGUGUAUUUAUGACAAUCUAUUAGACUUAGAACUCUAGUGUAUUUAUAAGCCUGCUAUUACAUAUCUAUAUUGCUAUUAUACUUCAUUAUACUCAAAUGAGAUUGUUGAAUUUAACUAAAGGAAUUUAUUCUACAAACUUUGCUGAUUAAAAAUGAAUAAAAGAUUAUGUUUUCGUGUCUCACUUAUAUACACUCAUUCACUAAUCAUUUAGAAGAAAAAAAUGUAUAUGUAAUUGAAAUUAUAAGCAAUAAUUAGGGUACGCGAUUGUCAUUGCACUGCCGGCUCUUGCUUAAAUUCGGUAUGUAAGCGAAAUCAUCACGAGAGACGUUGCCUAUAUUUCCCUUAAAAGAAGAGAUGAUUAUGUUCUCAAGUAAAUGAUUAAAGAGUAAUCCUGUAAACACCUCAAGCAUAUUCAAAGAGAAAGAAUAAAAGUACUCGAUAUUAUUGCUCUACCGUCAUGACCGCCCUUUUUUCUUGAAUCAUCGUGGAUAACCCUCAAAGAAAAACUUUGCAUGUCAAUAUUAAUACAGUAAUCUUAAAUGUCUGAUUUCAAUUGUAAUGCCUACACGUGUCAAACUGUAUCAGUGGUAACGUCAAAUAUAUACGUGAUAACCACAAACUCCUUGUAAAAUACCCAUUUUUAUCAAGUCUUUAGAGUACAAUAUUGCUCUUGAUCAUCACCAUUAAUCAUAGUGAUAUAUGUAGUGAUUAUGACAUAUUGCCUCUUACCCUGUUCGUUAUAAGCCAUUGUCAGUCUAACCUGGUGGCUCGAUAAUUACUUUGUCAAUAGAAAAUGGCGUAAUCUCAGGAUUAUCCGACUAAGUGGAUUAUAACCUUUUGUGCACUUCGCUUUCCAAUAGAAUAUAACAUUUCACUUAUAAUAUCACGUUUAUUUUAGAAUAAGUGACAGAGUGGACUUGAAAAGUGCAUCGAGGAAACAGUAUUUCGUAUUCGUGGAUAUAGUCUUAGAUUAUUUUUACUCGGUGUAAAUCGUUUGCAUUACUCACGAUGCCAACAAGUGCGUAUACGGAGCAUCGACUUCGCGCAUAGUUAUGUGUGUAUCGUUUAUGGUUUAAUUUGUUAAUGGAUGGCAUUAAAAAGACAAAAAUUUACUAUAUUUCAGCUCUUAUAAUUUUUUAUUUGAGCUCAAAUAAAACUAGAGCGAUAAGAAUACUAUGAAUGCGCCGUUCUAGUAAAUUUCAUAUCAUGAGCUGGAGCAUUGUGGCCCAGUGGAUUAGUAUUCUGACUUUGAAACAGAUGGUCGUUGGUUCGAAUCCCAGCCAUGGCGUAAUUUCAUUCAGCAAGAAAUUUAUCCACAUUGUGCUGCACUCAACCCAGGUGCGGUGAAUGGGUACCCGGUAGGAAGAAAUUCCUUGAAUGCUUGAGGGCCUAGGCAGCCCACCUAAAGCUGGGGUAAUAAUAACUGCAGGGCCCGCUGGUAGAACAGUUUUCAGAACUGAAGUGGUUUCCCUCGGUAAAUUUACCUAUAUUAUCAUUAUUAUUAUUAAUAUGAGCUUAUGUCUUUCUUCAUAACAAUGAUUGGACAGUAAACAUGAUUAUAAUGUUUAACUGUGUAUACGUAUUGUAUUAUGUAGAACUUGCAAAAUAUCUAUAAUUAGAUAACAAAUUCAACCAAAACAGGUUAAACCGCAACUUUAUCAACGAAUGUGUGAGCAGCCACAUCUGAUGGUUGCAUAGUUACGUAACAAAGAAUAGGUGACGUCAAUUUGACUUAGAAACCAAGUGCAAUAUCUAGACCCACCCUACCCCGAAAAAGCCUUUCCUCGGUGAGAUUGCGCAAAAUUGAGGGGAAAAAAUCAGAAAUAUUUAUCUUACAACUAAUUAAUAAAAAUCAGUGAUCACAACCAAAUUCUGUAAAUUUGAAAAACGACCUGAAAUAAUUGCAGGUGAGGAUAUGAAGCCUUUGGCCUUAAAAUACAUUUUCAAGAGUGAUUUAAGUUCACCUGAUUUGAAUAUACAAAUAUUUCAUUUCUUGAUUUAGAUUCAUCCAAAAACGUAGUGUGUUAAAUCAAGUAGUACUCUAAAAUCUAUGAAAUUCAACGUUUAUGUUAUCAAAAGUAAAUUCGAAUAUGGAAUAUGAUACAAGACGAACCUAACCUUAUUUGGGCAAUUCCGUGAAAUAAUCAAACUUUUGUACUUUCGACCCCCAAGUUUUACUUCACUUCAUAAACUGACCAAGUCAUGGUCAUUUGAGAGCAUUACAGACUGUCAAAAUUCAAAUUCAAUUCGAACCAGAAAUCAGAGACAGAAAAUUUAAUGAACGUACAUGUGAUCAGACGUACAUAUCUUAUGGAAUUGCCUAUUAUGAGUUGAAAACCAAAAGUUUGAAUUUUGAAUUUUUAUAUCUCCGUGACCACGGUAGUUUCGAUUUGUUUUAAAUCUCUUAUAUUUGGAGUGUACAACUGAAUACAAAUUAAGAGAUCUUUGAAAUUAACAUAUUAUAUGUUUUAUGCUUUAUAAUGAUUAAUCUCCGUGC